rnacentral:rRNA from 1 species
CCUACGGGUGGCUGCAGUGAGGAAUAUUGGUCAAUGGGCGGGAGCCUGAACCAGCCAAGUCGCGUGAGGGAAGACGGUCCUAUGGAUUGUAAACUUCUUUUGUCGGGGAACAAAGGGCGCCACGCGUGGCGUUGUGAGUGUACCCGAAGAAAAAGCAUCGGCUAACUCCGUGCCAGCAGCCGCGGUAAUACGGAGGAUGCGAGCGUUAUCCGGAUUGAUGGGGUUUAAGGGGUGCGUAGGCGGUCCGGAAAGUCAGCGGUAAAAGCCCGGGGCUCAACCCCGGCGAGCCGUUGAAACUGUCGGACUAGAGACGGCGAGAAGUACGCGGAAUGCGCGGUGUAGCGGUGAAAUGCAUAGAUAUCGCGCAGAACUCCGAUGGCGAAGGCAGCGGACCGGCGCCGGACUGACGCUGAGGCACGAAAGCGUGGGUAUCGAACAGGAUUAGAUACCCUAGUAGUC